GAUUUCUCCCUCUAAUGGCCCCGUUUGAGGUCGUGUUCUUCUGGCAGAGUAGCGUCUCAGCCCCCAACAUGGGUAUAAAGCUCACAGCCGUUGUGGCCGCUCUACUGGUGUGGCAUCGGUAGCCUUCUCUUCUCUGUGGACACAUGAAUCAGGGACCUCUGGAUAGGGGAAAUCUCAAACGGACAAGUUAUUUUUAUUGCUUGCAAAGAAGACAUGCCCUCAAGUUAUCUAAGAAAAGCCGGUAAAAGGCAUGUUCAUAAAGGGCCAGAAAUAGCGACAGAACAUGGAUAACCCUUGUGCCCAGCGCUCACAUGGCUUUCCUCGAAGCAGCUUCAGUGUUUUGGAAAAUGCGGGAGGAAAA
rnacentral:lncRNA from 1 species